GGGGACUUUGACAUGGGCGCAGCCUGAUCAGCCACGCCGCGUGAGUGAUGAAGGCCUUCGGGUUGUAAAGCUCUUUCGGCCGGGACGAAAAUGCCGGUGGUGGUAUCCCGAUGUCCCAUGACCUGUACCCUGUA
rnacentral:rRNA from 1 species